rnacentral:rRNA from 1 species
GUAUUUUGACUAUACAAAGGUAUUGUAAUAAGACUUUAAUUGAGUGCUAAGAGAAUGGAUUUUCAAAAAAAUUCUUUUUUAAGUUUAAAAAUUAAAGUUAUUUUUAUUUGUGAAGAAACAAUAAUAAAAAUUAAAGACAAGAAGACCCUAUGAAUUUUUAUAAACUUUAAUAUUUAAUUAAAUAUUAAAGUUUAUUUAAUUGGGGCGAUUGAGAAAGAUAAAAAACUUUUUUUUUAUUUAAAGAGAUCCAUUAUUAAUGAUUUUA